rnacentral:lncRNA from 1 species
GAAUAUUGUUAUAGCCCGGUGGUAAAAGCUUCUUGUUCAAAAUCCUUUCGACCAAAAGCUUGCUGCUUUGAAAGGUUUUUCCCAAAAGUUAGACUUUUCAGUCCCAAACCUUAAGUUCCAUCUGCAUUUCAUUCUUUUUACAUAAUUUUAUUGACUUCAGCACAAUUUUUUCUGACGUGAAAUGCACAAGCCAACUUUUCAACGGGUUAAGUAGGAAUAACACUAUGCUUAACACCUAACAUAAUAUUUCAGACCUAAAUAUUUCGAUCAUUCUAAAUCUGAAAGAAAGACAUUUUUAUUUUUAUUUUACGCACAAAUCUGG